UAUUCAAGAACGCUGAGCCCAAAAAUGGGGCGGGGGAACCAAUCAAUUUGGGGUGAAUCUUUCGUAUGAAAGUAGGGCUACUUUCAAGGUCCGAAUCCGUCAGCUAACCUCGUAAGCGUGUUGGGAGAGGAUGA
rnacentral:sRNA from 2 species